UACGAAGGGGGCUAGCGUUGCUCGGAAUCACUGGGCGUAAAGCGCACGUAGGCGGAUUGCUAAGUCAGGGGUGAAAUCCUGGAGCUCAACUCCAGAACUGCCUUUGAUACUGAAGAUCUUGAGUCCGGGAGAGGUGAGUGGAACUGCGAGUGUAGAGGUGAAAUUCGUAGAUAUUCGCAAGAACACCAGUGGCGAAGGCGGCUUUCUGGUCUGUAACUGACGCUGAGGCGCGAAAGCGUGGGGAGCAAACAGG
rnacentral:rRNA from 1 species